rnacentral:lncRNA from 1 species
GGCCCCUGUGGCAUCUCACACACUGACUGCAGUCCUGGCGGGACAGCCUCAGAGCACAGUGCCAUCUACAGCACACCCCAAACAUGCCAGCUAGACCCACUCAAGCCUCCUGCUGCCAGGUCACAGGUACACGUGGGGCAGAGACCCAACACCCACUGUGACGCAGGACUUCGGAUUGGGGAAAACAGCUACUAAUGAUAUGUGGGGGAACCUGGGAAGAUCUGACUGCCAAGGGCUUCCGGGCAACACCAGGGGUUCUCAUUAUGCUUCUUAGAUGCUCUCCAUCGUGGGCUGGAGUAGAGAACGUUCUUUCCUCUUUCCUGAGGGGAAAAGGACACUCAGAGAUGAAGUAUCCUGUAGCUGAAAUUUCCUUCAAAGAGUUUGCAAGCACCUGCUGGAGACACGUGGCAGGGUGGGAGUGUGUGUGCAUGCACACACUCGUGUCCCAGAAGUCUCUAGAUCAGAAACUUCCCAAGACUAGCAGUGUGGCUGUCCUCAAGGAGCUAGUUCCCUCAGGGACAGGGAGGUCUCUCUUCCCAAGGCCAUGAGUAAGGCCUGAUCUAAACCUGAGGGCGACCUUACCCUACUCAUAGGCUGUAUGACAUAAUUUUUUUUUUUAAGAGUAGGAAAAGUUUAUUGGGAAAAAAAGCUUCUGCCUAAGAGAGACAGAAGGGGGACCGGAAAGUGGGUUGCCUGUGCAUGACAUAAUUAAUGUGUUCCAGGGGCAGCAGCUGCAUCAAGUGCCUCAAAGCCAGCAACACCACAGAGCUGCAGUGCCCAAGCAGAGAAAAACCACAAUCUGCGCCUGGGCCAAACUGAGGUGGCAACCAAAGCUGACAGUCAACAACAGCGGGUAAGAGUUAAACUGCACAAACCCAAAACCAGAGCUAGAGCCAGAGAUGUGGUCAGAAACCCUGAUAAGGCUACCUAACAAAGCACAUUCCACAGUAAGCAAACAGACCAUGGUAAGGUCAGCUGGUCCCUGUGCUGUCCAUGACAUGCUCUGGGUCACAAACCAGGGCAUGGAUUGUUCGGCCUGCUUUCUCUGUGGGUCUCCUGAACUUGACAACAGCACACUCACCGCCUACCCUUCCCUUUAGGGUUUGGGCUGUCCUUCAGGUCAGGCCUCAAAUCACAGCUGUGGCCAAAAGCUACAGAAAAUCUUUAAAUGUCCUUUUGCUCACAGGAUGUGAAGAUGGCUUCUAUGACACAGCAGCCAAGCAGAGCGCUCCUCAAGCACCAUUCGGCCCCCACCCUGCUCUCUGGCAGGCAGGUGCAGCAGUGACCGCAGAAACGAGACGGAUUUGUCCACGUUUGCAAGUCCCCACCUUAAGCACCGAGGACUUGUUCGCCCCGAAUGCUGGCUUAGUCCCGGAGUCGCCGUCGCUGCUCGCCCCUCCUAGGCCCUGGACGGCUGUUUCAAGGUCCGGAUCCAACCUGCUAUCUGCUUUAAUAUUGCUCUGUUGAGAGAGGUUUCUCCAUUUUAAAUAAAAAUGAGUGACAUCUCUGGACAGUGGAAGCUGCGAGAAGCCCCGCUGAGGUCCCUCCCGCGGUGAUCUGGGCUGCACGAAGCCCAGGGCGUCGCUAUCCAGCCAGUCGCAGGGAGAGCCAGCAGACAGAUGGUCCUUCCCAGGCGGGGUUGGUUUUCUCCAGAUCCAAGCUAGAGCUCCCAGGUUAGGCUCUGUCCCCCUUGACCCCCACCUCUGGGCCUUUGCACUGGCUGGCUGCCUGGCACGCUCCUCCCCAGGUGUCUGCCUCUUGCAUGCCCUC